CUGGGAAAGAUGGAUUGCCAUAUGCAGAAGAAUAAAACUGGACUCCUAUCUGUCACCAUAUAAAAAAAUCAACUCAAGGUGGAUCAAAGACUUAAAUAUAAGACCUGAGACUAUAAAAAUGCAAGAAGAAAACCUAGGGAAAACUUCUCUGGACAUUGGCCUAGACAAAGAAUUCAUGAAUAAGACCUCAAAGGCAAAGACAACAAAAACAAAAAAUAGACCAUCUAUACGUGGUCUUCCCUCUGUGCACGUCUGUGUCCUAAGCUCUCCUUAUAAGGACAACAGUCAUAUUAGAUUAGGGCUCAUCCUAACAACCUCCUCUAAUCUCAUUACCUCUCUGAAGAUCCUAUCUGCAAAUACAGUCACAUUCUGAGGCAUUUGGACGACUUCACAUCAUUUCUUCAAGUUACCUGAUU
rnacentral:lncRNA from 1 species